CACAGCGAAACCUCCCGAGAAAGAAAGAACCGCUCGAUCUGAUACCAGCCGGCAAGAAGUACUGCAUUUCUUAUUAACGUACGGAAAUAAUCAGAGAAAAAACAAAACAAAAACAGAAAAAAAAAAGAAAAAGGUGUGCGCGGGCGAUUCAUGGGCAUCCGCGAAUCUAUAAAGGGGAGAUCUUUUCGGCGCAACACCGAUUCAGUGGACCACUCCACCAGUUCCAGCUUGAAUUCCCAGCAGCUUGUCAUUACUCCCACCAUGGAAGAACCCAUCGUGAUCGUUAGCCCUUCUGAAAAGACAACUUCUCUUAUGAGGCUGUUGCGCCGAAUGUGGCAAACAAUAUAUGUAAGGGAUUUUCUGGGAUGAUGAUGAGGAAGGAUUUACUGAAGAACAAUAGAGUUAUAAGAGCAAGAUAGCUGAAUAUAUAAUACUGCUCGAAUUUAUUACUUGAUAGUAUGAGCUGUUCGUGAGACUCACUCUCCUCCUGAAGGCAAUAUUUGCAAUA